ensembl:lncRNA
CCAAAACGCCUUGCUGGAGAAAUAGGUCCCUUUAAACUAUUGUGCUGGUUAAUAAUGCAAGUUUAUCUAUGCAUCUCUCAUAGAUUGGCUGCGCUGGUGGCAUAGGAGAUAAAGCAUCACCAAAAUCUGAGUGAGUUUGGUUUCGGCAAGGUGUGCCCCACAUCUCUGCUUUGGACCCUGCUCUGAAGGUUGCUUUUUAUCCAUUAAGUGCUUUCCUCAUGGCAAAAUUACUGUGGACUCCAGAUGUUGGCCUAGCCAAGUGCUGUUUGGAGGCUGUGUCCAUUCAGAGCAGAGAAGGCUGCACAGCUGUGAACACCUUCACUGACGGGGACCUCCCCACCCCCUGGCUCCCUUGCGGCAGCAAGAUGCUCGCAGUCUCCCUCUCCAAGGACGAUGUGGAGCUGCAGGACUCAGCUGCUCACCACGAGUCAUUGCCUUGGUCGCGGCGGCAGCAGGCCGGGAAGGACACACCAGCUCUUUAAAGGUUGCUCCGGUGAGAUGAUUACAGCCCUUUGCAAACUACAUCAUCUGCAAACCAGGCGCCAAACCUGACUGAUGGCCCAAAUCCAGAGUAGCUCCAGGGAGCUCUGCACCGUCGCCCUCCUCUCUGCCUGUCGCUGCUGCUGAAACACGCUCCUCGUUUCUUCAUGGGUACCUGCUGGUGGCCAUCUCCAUGCUGGGGGGCAAAAGUGCCCCAAGGAGCCCCCACCGGGGCGAGCCGGACCCUCUGUGCCAUCCCCUGUGACGAAGUGCGGCCGAGCGGCUCUGCUGAGCCAGGGACCUUCCUUGGCCAAGCCGCCAGCAGGAGGCUUGUUCCUGCGGCCCUUGUGCUGGUGCCGAGGUUUAUUUAUCCUGGCAAAGUCUCUGCAGUGCUCCGAGCCAGGAACUGAGUACCAACAAGAGCAGCAGAGGAACGGGUCCUGUGGCCUCCUUUUUUGUUGCUGCCUGAAGAAAGCAGGGAUAUUUUAGGAUAAUGUGACAACACCACAAUCCGGUGUUUUCAUACCCCCCUUCUCCAACUCACCUGUUGCAGGAGAAUAACUGCUCCUCCGAGAUAAGGGCUCCUGUGGGGCCUGCCUGGUUAGGUGGCGCGGUGGAUGCGAAGCCGAGCUGCUGUGGGUGGCUGGUGCUGCUCGGAGUGACGGCUCCGUGGUGUGCGAGGUGCCCAGCA